ensembl:lncRNA
CUGAUACAUCAAGUGAAAGUGAUUCUAUAAACUUCCCUAAAUGUCUUCAUCAACCAUGUGAAUUACCUGUUUCUGGAGGUUGAUUUCUACUUUUUUAGUUUUCUUACUCAUGUGGUCGGUUUUUCAGUUUUGAUCUCAUUCUAAAAUAGAUACAUGGUAACUGGUCAGAUAUAUUUUUAUAUAGCACAGGAUUCUUGACAGACAUGUCAAACUGAACUGAUAUUUUGCCCAUUUUAAGUGCCUACAGACAUAGUGAAAUGGCCCUGUUCAUCUUCAUAAUAUUUUAUCUUUUACUGGUGGUUAAAUUGCAAGGUUUGGCCACCAUGUCGUCUUUGCCACCAAUCACAGAGGGCAGCCCAACAGUGAUUCCCAAUGGAACCUUACAAGUGAAUUUGUCCACUGCAUCAACAAUGAACACAACAUUUUUGGGUGUAACAUCCACUACUGAGUCUGAAAUCACAACAGACCUGAUAACCAAUAUGUCAAGUCUAAGUUCCCAAGACAACCAUAGUUUAAAAGAUCCUGCAAACGCAUCCUUAGAAUCGACUACACUUACUGAUAAUACAGAACGUGCUUCAGUUUUCCCCUUGAUGACUAAAGGCCCUGAAAUCAGAAAGUACUCAAAUACAAAAAUGUUCUUCCUCAUUGCUGUGGUUGCAUCUGGUGGAGGAAUUGUACUGACUGGACUCGUGGGCACCUGUUUGUACAGACGUACACGAAAGUCAAAGGCAGAGAGGAUUUGGAUCGAAUCGAGCAGCAAAAAACACAAACAGGGACAUUCUUUACCAGUGGCCAGUUCAGACUCAUCUGGAGAGGAAGAUACAGUGCUUUACUCAACCAUCAACUUCAUUCAACCCCCCUCUCAACCACCAGGAAACAAUGAAGAAUCAAUUCAAAAUGAGGUUGAACUGAAUCAUUUGUAUUACACCGUCAUAACCAAACCGGCAAUCUCCAGUGACAGCAGGAGUGUUUACAGUCAGCUGAAGAUUCACAUGAACAGAAUAACCACAUCAGAAGGCACAGCAUGAAUAUGCAUACUUUUAAGCAAUAAUAAUUGUUAUUGUGAAUGGCAGUUGUAUAGAUCAACAUAAGGACAGUCAUAUUUCCUCCUGUUACUUGUGUGAAUAUUUUCACCUGAUGUUUAUUAUUUAAAGCACCUCAUUUUUAUGUUUCUCUUUUUGUUCCUUUUGUACUUUUCCGCUGUUCCUCAAAGUUAUGUCUAAAAUCUCUUUGAAGACUGGAGUAAUGGCUGCUGAAAAUCCCACUUUGUCAUCACAGGAAUAAAAUAUAUUCAAAUAGAAAACUGUUAUUUUGAAUUGGUAUAAUAUAUUCACAGUGUUACUGUUUUUACUGUAUUUGUGAUCAAAUAAAUGCAGCUUUAGUAAACAAGAGAGACUUCUCUCAAAAACAUUUAAAAAAUGUUACCAAGCCCAAUCGUUUGAAUGGUGUACAUGAAGAAGUUUUUUUUUUUUUUUUUAAUGAAAACCAGACACCGGAGAAACCUACAGCAAUACAGGUAUCCGAUUACUGUGAAUAUGCGUCAGAUGACAGCACACUCUCCUGUCUAAAACAUGGACUUACAGUUAUAUAUGUGACAUGAUGGCAGUCUUCUCAUUAACACAAGUUGUACCACUACUCUUUGCAUUAUGGUAUGGUACACUGAGUUAUGCUGCUCAUCCUCCUCAUCUUUACACUCUUUCUGGAGGUUCAACCUCAGUAAGUGACAACUUAAAUUAAAAAAAAUAAAAUGUUAUAUUUCAUAUUAAGUCUCUGUUCUCCUCUGCUCU